rnacentral:rRNA from 1 species
AUUGAACGCUAGCGGCAUGCCUUACACAUGCAAGUCGAACGGCAGCACGGGGCAACCUGGUGGCGAGUGGCGAACGGGUGAGUAAUGUAUCGGAACGUGCCCAGUAGCGGGGGAUAACUACGCGAAAGCGUAGCUAAUACCGCAUACGCCCUACGGGGGAAAGGGGGGGAUCGCAAGACCUCUCACUAUUGGAGCGGCCGAUAUCGGAUUAGCUAGUUGGUGAGGUAAAGGCUCACCAAGGCUUCGAUCCGUAGCUGGUUUGAGAGGACGACCUGCCACACUGGGACUGAGACACGGCCCAGACUCCUACGGGAGGCAGCAGUGGGGAAUUUUGGACAAUGGGGGCAACCCUGAUCCAGCAAUGCCGCGUGUGCGAAGAAGGCCUUCGGGUUGUAAAGCACUUUUGGCGGGAACGAAACGGUGCCGGAUAAUACCUGGCGCCACUGACGGUACCCGCAGAAUAAGCACCGGCUAACUACGUG